UACGUAGGAUGCAAGCGUUGUCCGGAAUUAUUGGGCGUAAAGAGCUCGUAGGCGGUUUGUCGCGUCUGCUGUGAAAACUGGAGGCUCAACCUCCAGCCUGCAGUGGGUACGGGCAGACUAGAGUGCGGUAGGGGAGAUUGGAAUUCCUGGUGUAGCGGUGGAAUGCGCAGAUAUCAGGAGGAACACCAAUGGCGAAGGCAGAUCUCUGGGCCGUAACUGACGCUGAGGAGCGAAGCGUGGGUAGCGAACAGG
rnacentral:rRNA from 1 species